CAGUUUUCCUUAGCUUUAAUCCAUUCUCAAAUGGAGCUAAGACUCAAGUUUAAAAACACUGCCAGGAGAAUUCAUUUAUAGGUCAAACCCCUAGCUUCUACUUGGAGUGGAAUUGUGAGGCAAACUCCUGUGUUUAUGCAUGUUAUGUUUUUAUAACAGUCAAUGUGUCUUUCCAAGUUACAAGUCAGAAAAAAUAAAGUCACAUGAAACAUUUUCCUCUGAAGGGUCAGUCAGAUGACACCUCAGAAUCUUGUAUACUCAAGAGCAAGAGCAGUAACUGCUUCUGAACUCCAUAGCAAUCCCUCACUUUUUGAAUGCUCACUACAUUCCGGCAGAGUUAUGGUCAUGGAAUUAAGUUAUGAAACCUGAACAGAGACUCCAUGAUUCUAAAGUCAUGAAGGAAAGAAUGUUUCCCAAAAUUUCACUAACCAAGACCCUCUGGUCUUAAUCAGAUGAAGGAAGAGAGCUUCUUGGGGAUUGCUUUCCUAGCCCCAAAUAUCUUAAUCCACCCAAUUUUGGGAAUAGGGUUUUAAAAAUUUCACUUUGUUUUAUGUCUGAAGUUUUAUUAAUGAGAGAUAGAGGUGAACAAAGUGAAGAUUUCAGGAGUGUCAUACUAUCUUUAGAAUAAUUUCUUCAAAUGAUAUUUCAUGUAAGAAAAGGGGAUGGAUGAUUUCAAGAAAAGAUGAGGCAAGAGCAUGGGUUGUUUUGUGCAUUUACAGUAAGCUUUGUGGAGGAGGGCUGCAGUUCUGCAUCCCACUGUGUUUUUACUAUUUUGUCCACUGGAUCCUGGAGAGAGUUUGGGGAGGACAACAAAACUCUAUAUGGUGAUUGUUAAGGUAGAUCCACAAAUUCUAUGAUAGCUCUAUCCCUCAAGAAGUGGAGCUUAAUUCCCUUCCUCUUGUUUGUACGGUUCACUUCAUGAUAGCAUAUGACCUAUAAAGAACAGAAUAUGGUAAAAGUGACUGUGACUUAUGAAACUAGGUCAUCAAAGACAUUGCAACUGCCUCCUUAUUCUCAUUUUUGAAUCAUUUGCACUGGAAGAGCUGGCUACCAUGUCUUCAGGAAAACUCAAGCAGCACCAUGGAAAGGCCCAUGUAAGGGGGAACUGAGGCCUUCUGCCAAGAGCCAUGUGAGCAAACCAUAUUGGAGGUGAACCCUUCAUCCCCAGCAAGGUUUACAAAAGACUUCACCUUGGGCAAUGUUGACUGAAACCUCAUGUGAGAUCCAAGGCCAGAACCACCCAGUUAAGCUAUUCUCAGAUGACCCACAGAAACUUC
rnacentral:lncRNA from 1 species